CAAAAUGUAGCUUAAUUAAAGCACCUGACUUACACUCAGGAGAUUUCAUACUAUAUGACCAUUUUGA
rnacentral:tRNA from 2 species